GAUGGCAUAAUCCCAGAAAUACAAACUAUUCUUGAAAAGAAGGAAAACAAAAACAAUCGAAAAGAAAAUUAAAAAUGGAAACCAAUUACCCUCAUCAACCCGCAAUUAUUAAAAAUUAAUAUGACAAAUUUUCCCUUCUCUCCUCUUCGCUAAAAAAACCAACCAAAUAGCUUCCGCAGCCCCAACCUCUCUCUCACUUGGCACUGGCAAGCUCUGUGCGCAGGAGCUUAGCAGCGGCAACCAUGUUUUUAAGGGCCGGCUUCACUUCAGAGUAUUUGCGGGUCUUGAGUCCGCAGUCAGGGUUAACCCACAAGAUGUUUGUCUCAAGCACCGCAAGCAUCUUGUUGAUCCUGUCAGCAAUUUCCUCAGUAGAUGGUAUUCUAGGAGAGUGGAUAUCAUAGACGCCAGGACCAAUUCCAGCACCAUACUUCACUCCCUCGCGGAAGACAGAAAGGAGCUUCUCAUCUGAUCGAGAGUUCUCAAUGGUGAUCACAUCCGCGUCCAUAUCAAUAAUUGAGUGGAUGAUAUCAUUGAAGUUGGAGUAGCACAUGUGAGUGUGGAUCUGUUAGGAUUUGAGAGAGAUGAGACAAUUGCAAAAAACAAGUUCAAGUUACAGAAAAGAGUAGAGUACAACUCAAAUUGUGGGGAAUUAAUAGGGAGGAUAAACAAACCUGGGUAGUGUCCUGGACACCGACGUUGGUGAUUCUGAAGGAGUGGACAGCCCAUUCCAAGUAGAAAGCUUGCUCUGACUUCCUAAGAGGCAAUCCUUCUCUCAAAGCAGCCUCAUCAAUUUGAAUAACGUUGAUGCCUGCCUUCUCAAGAUCUUCCACCUCGUCCUUGAUGGCCAAAGCAAUCUGGUAGCAGGUUUCAUGUCUGGGCAUUUACAAAUACAGUAUGUUAAGGAUGUGUAACUCCAACUAUCUAUAUGAAGUUCAAAGAGUUCCAUUUUCUCUUUUUUCCUCACUCAGUAUUCAUUUUAUAUACCUGGGUUGGUCAUUUCUGACAAAGGACCAAUUGAGAAUUGUGACAGGGCCGGUAAGCAUUCCCUUCAUUGGGCGGGAUGUCAUGCUCUGAGCGGUUGAGGACCAGAAGACAGUCAUUGGGUUAGGGCGGCUCACAUCACCGUAGAUGAUUGGUGGCUUCACACACCGUGACCCAUAUGAUUGCACCCAACCGUUGACAGUGAAGGCAAAACCUGACAACUGCUCCCCAAAGUACUCAACCAUGUCGUUUCUCUGUAACAAGACAUUUAGCAGAAGUCACUCUCUUUGCUCUAUGGAGUAAAAAUACAUCCAUUAUCCAAAGCAAGAAAAUUUGAAUGCACAACAUCCUAGGGCAUGAAUUGCCUUCUUCCUGGCCGGAUAGGCAGAGGAAAUCUCACCUCAGGUUCUCCAUG
rnacentral:lncRNA from 1 species